rnacentral:tRNA from 1 species
CAGCCCGUAGCUCAGUUGGAUAGAGCAACAGCCUUCUAAGCUGUGGGUCACAGGUUCAAUUCCUGUCGGGCUGGCCA